rnacentral:rRNA from 1 species
CCCUUAGAUGUUCUGGGCCGCACGCGCGCUACACUGAUGCGUUCAACAAGUUUCCUUGGCCGAGAGGCCUGGGCAAUCUUCUUAAUAUGUAUCGUGAUAGGGAUAGAUUAUUGCAAUUAUUAAUCUUGAACGAGGAAUUCCUAGUAAACGCAGAUCAUCAAUCUGCAUUGAUUACGUCCCUGCCCUUUGUACACACCGCCCGUCGCACCUACCGAUUGGAUGUUCCGGUGAAGCCUCGGGAUGAGGACUGGUGCCUUUAUUGGCAUGAGUUGUUCAGAACUUGUCUAAACCUUAUCAUCUAGAGGAAGGUGAAGUCGGAACA